AGUGAACGCUGGCGGUAGGCCUAACACAUGCAAGUCGAACGGCAGCACAGUAAGAGCUUGCCCUUACGGGUGGCGAGUGGCGGACGGGUGAGGAAUACAUCGGAAUCUACUUUUUCGUGGGGGAUAACGUAGGGAAACUUACUCUAAUACCGCAUACGACCUACGGGUGAAAGCAGGGGAUCUUCGGACCUUGCGCGAUUGAAUGAGCCGAUGUCGGAUUAGCUAGUUGGCGGGUUAAAGGCCCACCAAGGCGACGAUCCGUAGCUGGUCUGAGAGGAUGAUCAGCCACACUGGAACUGAGACACGGUCCAGACUCCUACGGGAGGCAGCAGUGGGGAAUAUUGGACAAUGGGCGCAAGCCUGAUCCAGCAAUACCGCGUGGGUGAAGAAGGCCUUCGGGUUGUAAAGCCCUUUUGUUGGGAAAGAAAAGCAGCAGGUUAAUACCCCGCUGUUCUGACGGUACCCAAAGAAUAAGCACCGGCUAACUUCGUG
rnacentral:rRNA from 1 species